CCUACGGGCGGCAGCAGUGGGGAAUAUUGGACAAUGGGCGCAAGCCUGACGCAGCAACGCCGCGUGAAGGAAGAAGGUUUUCGGGUUGUAAACUUCUUUUGUAAGGGACGAAGCAAGUGACGGUACCUGAAGAAUAAGCCACGGCUAACUACGUGCCAGGAGCCGCGGUAAUACGUAGGUGGCAAGCGUUAUCCGGAUUUAUUGGGUGGAAAGGGCGUGUAGGCGGGAAUGCAAGUCAGAUGUGAAAACUCUGGGCUCAACCCAUAGACUGCAUUUGAUACUGUAUAUCUUGAGUGCUAGAGAGGCAAUCGGAAUUCCAUGUGUAGCGGUGAAAUGCGUAGAUAUACGGAGGAACACCAGUGGCGAAGGCAGAUUGCUGGGCAGUAACUGACGCUGAGGCACGAAAGCGUGGGGAGCAAACAGGAUUAGAUACCCGAGUAGUC
rnacentral:rRNA from 1 species